UUGAACGAUGGCGGCAGGCCUAACACAUGCAAGUCGAGCGGAUGAAGGGAGCUUGCUCCUGGAUUCAGCGGCGGACGGGUGAGUAAUGCCUAGGAAUCUGCCUGGUAGUGGGGGAUAACGUCCGGAAACGGGCGCUAAUACCGCAUACGUCCUGAGGGAGAAAGUGGGGGAUCUUCGGACCUCACGCUAUCAGAUGAGCCUAGGUCGGAUUAGCUAGUUGGUGGGGUAAAGGCCUACCAAGACGACGAUCCGUAACUGGUCUGAGAGGAUGAUCAGUCACACUGGAACUGAGACACGGUCCAGACUCCUACGGGAGGCAGCAGUGGGGAAUAUUGGACAAUGGGCGAAAGCCUGAUCCAGCCAUGCCGCGUGUGUGAAGAAGGUCUUCGGAUUGUAAAGCACUUUAAGUUGGGAGGAAGGGCAGUAAGUUAAUACCUUGCUGUUUUGACGUUACCAACAGAAUAAGCACCGGCUAACUUCGUG
rnacentral:rRNA from 1 species